CAGGUAGCUCAGUUGGUAGAGCAGUGGACUGAAAAUCCGCGUGUCGGUGGUUCGAAUCCGCCCCUGG
rnacentral:tRNA from 1 species